rnacentral:rRNA from 1 species
UACGUAGGGUGCAGGCGUUAAUCGGAAUUACUGGGCGUAAAGCGUGCGCAGGCGGUUUCUUAAGUCAGAUGUGAAAUCCCCGGGCUCAACCUGGGAACUGCAUUUGUGACUGCAUCGCUGGAGUGCGGCAGAGGGGGAUGGAAUUCCGCGUGUAGCAGUGAAAUGCGUAGAUAUGCGGAGGAACACCGAUGGCGAAGGCAAUCCCCUGGGACUGCACUGACGCUCAUGCACGAAAGCGUGGGGAGCAAACAGG